rnacentral:rRNA from 1 species
CGGGAGGCAGCAGUAGGGAAUCUUCCGCAAUGGACGAAAGUCUGACGGAGCAACGCCGCGUGAGUGAUGAAGGCUUUCGGGUCGUAAAACUCUGUUGUUAGGGAAGAACAAGUGCUAGUUGAAUAAGCUGGCACCUUGACGGUACCUAACCAGAAAGCCACGGCUAACUACGUGCCAGCAGCCGCGGUAAUACGUAGGUGGCAAGCGUUAUCCGGAAUUAUUGGGCGUAAAGCGCGCGCAGGUGGUUUCUUAAGUCUGAUGUGAAAGCCCACGGCUCAACCGUGGAGGGUCAUUGGAAACUGGGAGACUUGAGUGCAGAAGAGGAAAGUGGAAUUCCAUGUGUAGCGGUGAAAUGCGUAGAGAUAUGGAGGAACACCAGUGGCGAAGGCGACUUUCUGGUCUGUAACUGACACUGAGGCGCGAAAGCGUGGGGAGCAAACAGGAUUAGAUACCCUGGUAGUCCACGCCGUAAACGAUGAGUGCU